ACGCUCGACACCUACGGGAGGCAGCAGUUAGAAUAUUGGGCAAUGGAGGAAACUCUGACCCAGCAACGCCGCGUGAAGGAAGAGGGUUUUCGGAUUGUAAACUUCUGAUCUAGGGGAAGAAGGAAGUGACGGUACCCUAGGAGAAAGCCACGGCUAACUACGUGCUAGCAGCCGCGGUAAUCUGAGCGGGCUGGCAAGGC
rnacentral:rRNA from 1 species